rnacentral:lncRNA from 1 species
GAUGGCCAUUUUUGAAAACCCUUCUCUAGCCAAAUUUUCACCCAAAGUGCUUGAAAAUAUUAUACCCUUUUUGAACCUUAGCCUUAAAUAGGAUGUGAACCCUUGUCUUGACACUCUUUACCUUGAGUUAGGAUGAGCUUAAUUGUAUGUGAUGAAAAGGUUCAAGUUUGGGGUUGCAUGGGGGAAACUGAAAGGCAAUUGAAAAAGCAUUGAGCUCAAAUUUUGUAAAAGAAAAAUACAUGAGAAAAAGAAAAGAAAAGAAGAAAAGCAUGAAGAUGGGAUCAAUGCAAAGAAAAGGGAAAAAGUUGGGAAUAAGUGAGAUUGGUGAGGAAGAGAGUUAUGCUUAAAUGUUGAAUACUAUGAUAGCUCUCUUAACUCAAGGAUUUUGCAUUCCAGAAAAACCAAUUCGUCUUGUUAGCCCAGCCUCAUUACAAGCAUUGGAAAAGUCCUUUUGAUGGCAUUUGCAUGUAAGGAUUUUGGUUGUUUUAGAUGAAUGGCAAUUUUGUUUCAUGUGACUUGUGAAUAAUAGAGUGUUGGAAUGUUACCCUAAAACACU